rnacentral:tRNA from 1 species
GCAGGUAUAGCUCAGUGGUAGAGUAUGUGCUUAACAUGCAUGAGGUCAUGCAUUCAAUGCCCAGUACCUCCA